GCUUGUCUCAAGACUAAGCCAUGCAUGUCUAAGUAUAAACGCUUCUAUACUGUGAAACUGCGAAUGGCUCAUUAAAUCAGUUAUAGUUUAUUUGAUGGUUCCUUACUACUUGGAUAACCGUAGUAAUUCUAGAGCUAAUACAUGCAGAAAGUCCCGACUUCUUGGAAGGGAUGUAUUUAUUAGAUCCAAAACCAGCGCGAGUUUCCUUCGGGGGCUCGGUUGCAUGGUGAUUCAUGAUAACUGCUCGAAUCGCAUGGCCUUGCGCCGGCGAUGAUCCAUUCAAAUUUCUGCCCUAUCAACUUUCGAUGGCAAGGUAGUGGCUUGCCAUGGUGACAACGGGUGACGGAGAAUUAGGGUUCGAUUCCGGAGAGGGAGCCUGAGAAACGGCUACCACAUCCAAGGAAGGCAGCAGGCGCGCAAAUUACCCAAUCCCGACUCGGGGAGGUAGUGACAAUAAAUAACAAUGCUGGGCUAUCGUAGUCUGGCAAUUGGAAUGAGUACAAUCUAAACCCCUUAACGAGGAACAAUUGGAGGGCAAGUCUGGUGCCAGCAGCCGCGGUAAUUCCAGCUCCAAUAGCGUAUAUUAAAGUUGUUGCAGUUAAAAAGCUCGUAGUUGGAUUUCGGGGCAGCCCGGCUGGUCCGUCGCGAGGCGAGUACUGGUCGGCCGCCCUUCCUCUCGAAAGCCCCGACUGCUCUUCACUGCAGUGGUCGGGGAGUUCGGGACGUUUACUUUGAAAAAAUUAGAGUGUUCAAGGCAGGCCAUCGCCUGAAUACAUUAGCAUGGAAUAAUGGAAGAGGACCUCGGUCCUAUUUUGUUGGUUUCUAGGGCCGAAGUAAUGAUUAAGAGGGACAGUUGGGGGCAUUCGUAUUUAAUUGUCAGAGGUGAAAUUCUCGGAUUUAUGAAAGACGAACAACUGCGAAAGCAUUUGCCAAGGAUGUUUUCAUUAAUCAAGAACGAAAGUUAGGGGUUCGA
rnacentral:rRNA from 1 species